CAGCUACAACACUUGCUCUGCAGUUGCAAUUAGUUGCAACUUGGGGCCACGCACUUCCGUGGCAUCGCUCGAUCGCCGGAGCUCCGGUGAGCAGAGCAAGUCCAGAUCAGCGGAGAGAGCUAGUGACGACGACUGCGCCUAUCUGGCCGCCCUGAGGGCCUUUGCGAGAGCCGAUGAGGUCCCGUACACUGCGGCGGCGGCCGCCCCGCCGUCUCUGAACCCGCACAAGAACUGCCGGUGGGCGGGCAACGUCGUCGCCGCCGCCGCCGCCACGCUCCUGCCAGUGCCAGCUGCAGCGGCAUGCGCGUGCGUGUUAGGCGGCGAGGAUGAGCAGGAUGAAGAGGAGACGCGCCUGCAGGAGAGGCACAUUGUGAGGGCGGUGAGAGGGGCCGCUGGCGCGGGCGCGGCGCUCAGCGCCCUGAGCUCGGCGACCUCCUUGCCCAGGCGCCGGUUCUCCUCGGCGAGCUGCUCGCACCAGCGCCUGAGGUACUCGCAGUCGACCUCCGUCUGCUUCAGCUUGGUCCGGGCGCGCCGGUUCUGGAACCACACCUCCACCUGCCGCGCCCGGAGGC
rnacentral:misc_RNA from 1 species